CUCCGGCUCGAAGGACCAAUUUGGUCCUUCGAGCCGGAGUA
rnacentral:pre_miRNA from 1 species